UGGCGAGCGAACACGGAAGAGCCCAAACCCAUGUCGUCUAGGCGACACGGGGGUUGUAGGACCACGACGUGGCAAGAUAGAGUCAAGUGGAACGCCUUGGAAAGGGCGACCGUAGAGGGUGAUAGUCCCGUACACGACUGACGAUUGAAGCCUAGUGGUAUCCUGAGUAGCGCGGGGCACGAGAAAUCUUGCGUGAAACUGCGGGGCCCAUCCCGUAAGGCUAAAUACUCCCGAG
rnacentral:rRNA from 1 species